CCUCCCGCACCUUCCCUCUUCUCUCGUGUGCCCAUUUGCUCUCUACCCAGCUUUGCCACACCAGGGCUCUCCUGCCUGCCUUCAGGGUGACGAGAGGCAGAAGUCACAGGACUGGGGAGAACCUGACCCCAAUUAGGAUGAAAUGUUUCCAGCAUCGCAGUGAGGCAUCUCAUUGAGAUUUACUGCCAAGCCUCACUCCCAGGUUCUACAUCCACCCACGAGACAUAUGGAGGCUUCUCUGGAAGCAGGCCCUGGGAGGCCCACCCAGCCCACUGUGACUUCACACCCAGGAGUGUUAAAGGCUAGAAUUCUCCUCCAGCUGGACUAAGCAACGUCCCGACUUAACACAGACGAGUAAUACAUAUGCAUCAGGGUGCAGUACUGUUUUGGUCACUAAACGCUGACAACAACCUAACGUCAAUCAGGGGAAGAUGUACUAAAUAAAUCAUGGAUCUAGGAUGUGAAUUCCUGUUCUCAACCAAUCCUCCUGCCUCAACCUCCAGAGUAACUGAAACUACAGACGCCAGAGUAACUGGGACUACAGGCUCCAGAGUAACUGCGACUACAGGCUCCAGAGUAACUGGGACUACAGGACCCCAGAGAAAAUGAGACAGCCUCUAUCAGACUCCUCACACCCUCUGUGCCAGCAUCAAAGGAGACCAGGUCCAGGCAAACAGAUGAGUAACAUCAUGAAAAGCAGACUCAAGGACGGAACACCCACGAUGGCUGUCGGCAGAUCCACUUUCCACCUCCAGACGAUGCCUCCGGCGAGUGCCCCCCACCGUGCAGUCAGAGCCCACCAACAGCAGAAUCCUAGCGCUCUGACCCGACCCUACUCUCCUCUGACAGUGGGGAGGAGGGCCAGUGGGGACCCUGGCCUUUGCUCUCAACUCACUCCCUCUUCACUCUAGGGCGGGAGCCAUGAACUCAGUCCCCACCUGUCUUGAUCACUGGGCCUGGGGUGAAAGGCAGGGUGGCCCAGGGAGGAGAGGGCAUGGAAAGUCGUGUGUGGAAACAUACCCUGACUGUAAAAAAAGGAGCAGUCAAGAGCGAAAGGUCACAGUGAGUGAGUUCCUGCUCCAGUCUGCUCCUGGUUCUUAGGUGCCAGAAUGAGAAGAUGGGUUCUGGGCUGAGGGCAAAAUAAAUAUUUUUUAUGUAGGAAACUUAAGACUGCAGAGGCUGGCCAGGCAUGGUGGCUCAUGCUUAUAAUCCUAGCACUUGCAGAGGGUGAGCUGGCAGGCUCACUUAAGCCCAUAAGUCUGAGACCAGCCUGGGCAACAUAGUGAGUCACCAUCUCUAUAAAAAAUACAAAAGUUAGCCAGACAUGGUGUUGUGUGCCUGUGGUCCCAGCUACCCGGGAGGCUAAGGCGGGAGGAUUGC